rnacentral:lncRNA from 1 species
AUUCCAUCUAAACCCGUGAAUGACAAACCUUCAACAUCCCGUCAUAUCUUUUUAUCAGCAUUCCUUUCGUCAUACCUGAGUUCCUGGAAAGUAAUGCUUCUUUAUGGUAAACCUCAUUUUAUUCUGACUACAUCACUACCCGGUGUUCAUGUUUAAUCUAUGCAAUCCUGUCAUGGCUUGUCCUUUUCAUGAUGUCGUACAGAUAUGAGGAAAAUGUAGGUGAGUCACCAUUUUCCCGAAUGCUUUGACAGACUGCAGGAAGCAGGUACAAACAUGCAAGGGCCUUCCUGUGAUGGGAGGGGCGUGGUAAAGGUAGAGGCGGAUCACAGGGCAUGUUUUGAAUUCUACAUCACCAGCUUACCUCAGCUAAUGACUGUCUAGGUUGUCUCGACUGGUGUCUGUCUCGCUCAUUUUCUGUUUUGUAGUUCAGCAGCAAAGGCACGAGACAUGAAUCUCUACAGAAGCUUUGGGAACCUCAUGGAGGUUUGGGUAGCUGAGGAAGACCCUUGUCCUGACUUGGAUUGGUAUGGAAAACCAGACUCCCUGACAGUGUUCGAUGACAUGGGAGCAAGCCAGCGCUCAGAAUCUGUGGACUCAGGAGUGGAGACGGCCAGUUGUGAUACUUUUUUAUCCACGUCAUGCCCUGUCUCGCCAGAUAACGUGGACAUAACUUCCUUUUUGCCACCACAAAGAGAAAGACUCCUCUCCCAAGCAUCAACCUCACCACAACAAGUUCUUUCUUCUCCUUUUUCAUCCUCGCCUUCUUCAUCCUCACACGUCUUCCCCAGCAGAGCAGCAAAGACACCGUCCGCUCUGCAACUAAAACUAGAACAAACUCUACAAAGAACUGAUACGAUGCAACUCAAGGAGAAGCCCAAGUGGUUUACAGGGGAUGGGGAGCUUAGCCAGAGGCCUCAAGCCUCUUGCCUGCCCAAAAGGCACGCUUCAGAAAUAAUAAGAACGAAUGGGAAUUUUGUCCAAAAGACGACUGGGAACCCAACUCCCACCAGGAUGAUGUCAGAGAUAUGCAGACGACCACAGUCCAUGACUUAUAACAAACAAAGAUCAGAGGGCCCUGGCAUUACAGAAACGGAAGAACUCAGCCCUGGCUUCAGCUACUUAAAGCAGGUGUGUCAGAUGCUGGAGGAUUUUGCCAGACAACAAAUGUACAACCAAUCAUUACAGCCGGAGGUAGAUGGCCUCUGGGGAAAAAAAGACGAGCAGGUGUCAAACACUUGUCAGAGCGACUCUACAGCUUCACAGGAGGAUAUUUCUUCACGUCAGCGGCUUGAAAACAUGGAAAAUGUAGAACAGAUUUCCAGUCAACAGCAGAGGAAAUAUGAACAUAUACGGCAGAAAUCAAUGUCUGACACUGCACUCUCCACUCUGCAUCUAAGAAAACUAGAUUUUGAGGGCGUAGCGCAGCGUAUAAGUACAAACGACCUGCUGGAGCGUGACGAGGACGAACGGGACGAUCAGGACGAUCAGAUGCCAAGAAAGACGACUUUCAAGAACUGGAAGCUAAAACUGGGCUCUAUCGGAAGAGUGGAGUCAUCUCUCAUCCCCACAAGGAGCCAACGGAUGCAGUCGCCUGAGAAAAACUCUGCCCGGAGACGACUAAGCCAGCUGUUCAAGAGAAAGAAAACUCCUGCUUAGGUCAGCGUCAUGCUUCCCGUUACUGCUGAGGUUUCCACCCUGAGACCGUUUCCUCCAUUUAAAAAGUCUCAACCAUGACUCAUCAUCUGAUAUGUUGAUGUUUCUUAACAGGGACAAAUUAUAGGUGCUGGGAGUAGAGUUUAUUUGUUUCAUUAACCCAGCUGUAGAUGAAAAUGAAAGUGUAUUAUAGGCUAAUGUAAAUACAGUGUAACAACAAUAAAUAUCACUAAAAGUGUAAACUUUAUAUGCA